CCUACGGGAGGCAGCAGUGAGGAAUAUUGGUCAAUGGGCGCGAGCCUGAACCAGCCAAGUAGCGUGAAGGAUGACUGCCCUACGGGUUGUAAACUUCUUUUAUAAAGGAAUAAAGUGAGGCACGUGUACCUUUUUGUAUGUACUUUAUGAAUAAGGAUCGGCUAACUCCGUGCCAGCAGCCGCGGUAAUACGGAGGAUCCGAGCGUUAUCCGGAUUUAUUGGGUUUAAAGGGAGCGUAGAUGGGUUGUUAAGUUAGUGGUGAAAGUUUGGGGCUCAACCGUAAAAUUGCAAUUGAUACUGGCAGCCUUGAGUUAAGUUGAGGUAGGCGGAAUUCGUGGUGUAGCGGUGAAAUGCUUAGAUAUCACGAAGAACUCCGAUUGCGAAGGCAGCUUACUAAACUGCUACUGACGUUGAUGCUCGAAAGUGUGGGUAUCAAACAGGAUUAGAUACCCCAGUAGUC
rnacentral:rRNA from 1 species